rnacentral:rRNA from 1 species
UACGUAGGGGGCAAGCGUUGUUCGGAAUUACUGGGCGUAAAGGGCGCGUAGGCGGCCCAGCAAGUCGGGAGUGAAAGCCCGGGGCUCAACCCCGGAACAGCUUUCGAAACUGCUGAGCUAGAGUACAGAAGGGGCAACCGGAAUUCCCAGUGUAGCGGUGAAAUGCGUAGAUAUUGGGAAGAACACCUGAGGCGAAGGCGGGUUGCUGGGCUGACACUGACGCUGAGGCGCGAAAGCGUGGGGAGCAAACAGG